rnacentral:rRNA from 1 species
CGCGUAGGCGGCCUGUUAAGUGUGAAGUGAAAUCCCCCGGCUCAACCGGGGACGUGCUUUGCAUACUGGUGGGCUUGAGUCCGAGAGGGGGUGGUGGAAUUCCUGGUGUAGGGGUGAAAUCCGUAGAGAUCAGGAGGAACACCGUUGGCGAAGGCGGCCACCUGGAUCGGUACUGACGCUGAGGCGCGAAAGCGUGGGGAGCAAACA